rnacentral:rRNA from 1 species
GACGAACGCUGGCGGCGUGCUUAACACAUGCAAGUCGAACGGAAAGGCCCUGCUUUUGUGGGGUGCUCGAGUGGCGAACGGGUGAGUAACACGUGAGUAACCUGCCCUUGACUUUGGGAUAACUUCAGGAAACUGGGGCUAAUACCGGAUAGGAGCUCCUGCUGCAUGGUGGGGGUUGGAAAGUUUCGGCGGUUGGGGAUGGACUCGCGGCUUAUCAGCUUGUUGGUGGGGUAGUGGCUUACCAAGGCUUUGACAGGUAGCCGGCCUGAGAGGGUGACCGGCCACAUUGGGACUGAGAUACGGCCCAGACUCCUACGGGAGGCAGCAGUGGGGAAUAUUGCACAAUGGGCGGAAGCCUGAUGCAGCAACGCCGCGUGCGGGAUGACGGCCUUCGGGUUGUAAACCGCUUUCGCCUGUGACGAAGCGUGAGUGACGGUAAUGGGGAAAGAAGCACCGGCUAACUACGU